CCUAUCAAGAAAAAUGCGGCUGUGGCUGCGGCUGCGGCUAGCAGCUUGAUAGGCGGCACGACCAUGGCACGACCACUGGGCACGACCCAACAUGUGCGAAGCCUUGUCAGACCGCUCCGCCGGGCUCUUUCUGUAAAAUGCAUCUGAGCAUCGUUGUUGGGUUCUUCUGCCAGCGUCUGCUUCGUCGCCGUUUCAUGGAAUCUCCACUAUUUCCUCAAAGUACACUGCACAGCCAAAGGACAUCACACAUACUCAAGGGCAAACUUCCAAGUAUCAGAAGACUAUUUCAAGGCUUCGAAGACAGCAGGUGAAGACCCCCAACACAAAGUGCUUAAUUGCAGCUCUUUAAUGACGGACACACUGGCUUACACAUUCGAGAUGAAGAUGUUGGUGCGUGCUCAAUUAUUUUUUUGCAGCCAUUUUAUUUCGGCACGCUACCAUUCACAUAAUUUUGCUACCCUAAUUCACCUUCCUUCGCAGAAGUAGAAGAAAUACGUCGUAUUUUUUUUCCUUCGGUGUUCGUUGACGCUGCCUGGGUUAAAAAUAAGGAUGCGUAUACCUCCGUUGUCGUAGACACUCAAGGUAACAUACAGGAUGCCAUCACCGUCUAUACCAAGGACCCAACAGUAGCAGAACAAGAAGCAAUCGCCUUAGCCAUCCGGGCUAAUCGGUGGACACAUAUUUACAGCGACUCUAGAAGAGCCAUACGCAACUUUACCAACGGAUAUGUGACACGGAUAGCAACAAAAUUAUUAGAGAAGAUCAAGAGUGAGAGGAUCGAAAUCCGCUGGUUUCCUGCACAUCUGGGGGUGGUGGACGGAGCUCGGAGAAACCUCAAUGAAGUGGCAAAUGAAGCAGCACGAGGACUUUCUAGCCGUGCUCUUCAAGACCGAGCAACUUACACUUCACCCGGGGAACACAGGGAUCGAUUAUUAACAUAUAACGAAAUCACGAAGCAUUAUUAUUUAAGCAGAAGGGAAUACCCAUUGCCACACGGUAAGCUUUGCAGAGCCCAAGCGGUCACAUUACGUUUGCUACAGACAAGAACAUACCCAAGUCCAUAUUUUAUUAACAGGAUCUAUCCGGAGAGGGAAAUUCAAACCAACUGUAAUAAGUGCAAUGGCAUCAUUACUCUUGACCACAUGCUUUGGCAGUGCCCCGCGGUCUUCACUGACCAUGACAAGGAACAAGAAUGGUGGCGGCAAAUGCUACACAGUGAAUCACUCUCUGACCAAUUACGGGCAGUCCAGAAGGCCCGCGAUGUGGCUGAAGGGCUAGGCCUGACAGUCCCAACGUGGGAGCGGCCCGCGUCAACGUAUGGUUGACCUUCAGGACCCAAUAAAGUUCUCCAUACCAUACCAUAAAACAAUCCCAUUUUAAGCAAAUUAAUUGCUGUCGUGUAUUUGCAGUUUUCUUUUUCAUUAUCUGGAUAGUUGCAACACGUCUUCUAUGUGUUUUGCUUGUGCAAAGUUAUUGCCAUCACGCCAUUCAUUUUCAACUAUUCUCCAUUACACCGGUGUCACACGACCACUUGCGAUCACGAACAAGUCCGAUCCGGAUUGAAAUUCGCGACUGAUAUUGGCGCCAUCGUGCCGCUUGCGCAAAAGAACCAAUCGUGACUGAGAAAUUCAAAUCGGAUUGGGCUUGAUCGCGUUUAUAAGUGUGCCGUGUGACACCCGUAUUACUUGCAUUUCGCUGUUUCUUCCCGUUUUCAUGUAUCUGCCUCUUACAAUCUUGCUGCAAUAAAUUGUCUGCUAUUUUCGUGUU